rnacentral:rRNA from 1 species
GACGAACGCUGGCGGCGUGCUUAACACAUGCAAGUCGAACGCUGAACCCGCUUCGGUGGGGGAUGAGUGGCGAACGGGUGAGUAACACGUGGGCAACCUGCCCCCGGCUCUGGGAUAACUCCAAGAAAUUGGGGCUAAUACCGGAUGUGACCGCUGGCCGCAUGGUCUGGUGGUGGAAAGGAUUUCCGGCUGGGGAUGGGCCCGCGGCCUAUCGGCUUGUUGGUGGGGUAGUGGCCUACCAAGGCGCCGACGGGUAGCCGGCCUGAGAGGGUGACCGGCCACACUGGGACUGAGACACGGACCAGACUCGUACGGGAGGCAGCAGUGGGGAAUAUUGCGCAAUGGGCGGAAGCCUGACGCAGCGACGCCGCGUGGGGGAUGACGGCCUUCGGGUUGUAAACCUCUUUCAGCAGGGACGAAGAGCAAGUGACGGUACCUGCAGAAGAAGCACCGGCCAACUACGUG